rnacentral:rRNA from 1 species
CCACGGGCGGCUGCAGUGGGGAAUAUUGGACAAUGGGCGAAAGCCUGAUCCAGCCAUGCCGCGUGUGUGAAGAAGGCCUUCGGGUUGUAAAGCACUUUCAGUGGGGAAGAAAGCCUUGGGGCUAAUACCCUCGAGGAAGGACAUCACCCACAGAAGAAGCACCGGCUAACUCCGUGCCAGCAGCCGCGGUAAUACGGAGGGUGCGAGCGUUAAUCGGAAUUACUGGGCGUAAAGCGCGCGUAGGCGGUCUGAUAAGCCGGUUGUGAAAGCCCCGGGCUCAACCUGGGAACGACAUCCGGAACUGUAAGGCUAGAGUGCAGGAGAGGAAGGUAGAAUUCCCGGUGUAGCGGUGAAAUGCGUAGAGAUCGGGAGGAAUACCAGUGGCGAAGGCGGCCUUCUGGACUGACACUGACGCUGAGGUGCGAAAGCGUGGGUAGCAAACAGGAUUAGAUACCCCAGUAGUC